CACGUAGGGUGCGAGCGUUGUCCGGAAUUAUUGGGCGUAAAGAGCUUGUAGGCGGUUUGUCGCGUCUGCUGUGAAAUUUCGGGGCUCAACCCCGAACUUGCAGUGGGUACGGGCAGACUAGAGUGUGGUAGGGGAGACUGGAAUUCCUGGUGUAGCGGUGAAAUGCGCAGAUAUCAGGAGGAACACCGGUGGCGAAGGCGGGUCUCUGGGCCGAUACUGACGCUGAGGAGCGAAAGCGUGGGGAGCGAACAGG
rnacentral:rRNA from 1 species